GAUGAACGCUAGCGGCAGGCUUAACACAUGCAAGUCGAGGGGUAUGCUUCUUCGGAAGCAGAGACCGGCGCACGGGUGCGUAACGCGUAUGCAAUCUACCUUUUACAGAGGGAUAGCCCAGAGAAAUUUGGAUUAAUACCUCAUAGUAUUAUAGAAUGGCAUCAUUUUAUAAUUAAAGUCACAACGGUAAAAGAUGAGCAUGCGUCCCAUUAGCUAGUUGGAAGGUAACGGCUUACCAAGGCUACGAUGGGUAGGGGUCCUGAGAGGGAGAUCCCCCAC
rnacentral:rRNA from 1 species